rnacentral:lncRNA from 1 species
UGUAAGAAACACGUUCUCGAACUAACGUGGGUUGAUUCAUGUAGGUUUUGAUAAAUGCCAAACAUUGAGCCAAGCAUCGGUGAUGGAACAAUAACAGACCAAGUACAAGAUGGAUAGUACGUGUUCAAGAAUAGAAGAUGCAAUCAACUGUUGAGUAGGUCUUAAUUUGUAAUCUUGACUCAACGACUUAUUUCUAAUAUUGGCUCUCACCUAAAAUGA